rnacentral:pre_miRNA from 1 species
ACAAGUUCCGGACCGUCGGUCUACCGAGCAGUAUCACUCGCUCGGUGGAAGAUUUUCUCUUCGUCGU